rnacentral:lncRNA from 1 species
AGCGCAGUAAAGCAGCUGCAGGUCGAUCGGUGGAAGUCAUUCACAGAAAAGGGAUACUGCACAGGAGACCUACGCAAAGCGGAGAUUGCGGUUUAUGCGUUGCGUUUUACGUACGGUAGAGUUUACUCCAGAGAAAGGACAUCGGAAGGCUACAGAAGGAUUGCUUCCUGUUUCAGCAAUAUUCCCGCAUCCUCAAAGAUGACAUGAUCGUGAUGCCUCUGUGCAUUCCAGAGGCCCACCUUGGCAGCUAGAGGAGAGG